rnacentral:rRNA from 1 species
GACGAACGCUGGCGGCGUGCCUAAUACAUGCAAGUCGAACGCUUCUUUUUCCACCGGAGCUUGCUCCACCGGAAAAAGAGGAGUGGCGAACGGGUGAGUAACACGUGGGUAACCUGCCCAUCAGAAGGGGAUAACACUUGGAAACAGGUGCUAAUACCGUAUAACAAUCGAAACCGCAUGGCUUUGAUUUGAAAGGCGCUUUCGGGUGUCGCUGAUGGAUGGACCCGCGGUGCAUUAGCUAGUUGGUGAGGUAACGGCUACCAAAGGCCACGAUGCAUAACGGACCUUAGAGGGUGAUCGGCCACAUUGGGACUGAGACACGGCCCAAACUCCUACGGGAGGCAGCAGUAGGGAAUCUUCGGCAAUGGACGAAAGUCUGACCGAGCAACGCCGCGUGAGUGAAGAAGGUUUUCGGACCGUAAAACUCUGUCGUUAGAGAAGAACAAGGAUGAGAGUAACUGUUCAUCCCUUGACGGUAUCUAACCAGAAAGCCACGGCUAACUACGUGCCAGCCGCCGCAGUAA